AUCUCUUUCUGGAGAUUGCUGCCUUUGGAGUUUCCUACUGUGAGCCUAGGACACAGGUAACUACUAGCACUGAAGAAUUCCUUAAUUAGCUCUUUAAACUGAGUUGGGCUUCAUGCAAAGGGUAUCCAAACUUCUCCAAGUUUCUUUUCAGUAUGCAGAAGCCAAAACGCCCUGGAGUCUCACAUAUGAAGACAGUAUCACCUUUGUGGGGGCCUGAGGAUGAACAGUCUCAUUAUUUUGCCAAGAUAUACACAAUACUGCUGAAAAGUAUAUAAUAACUUAGGAAACUAUUAACACAAAGUUUAUGGCAGUCAUAGACUCAGACAUUUCUAGGUCAGUGUAAGAUUUCUGCUGUCAAGAGUUCCCAAGCCUCUAGAUGAUGCUGUAAAGAAAGAUUCACUCACUGUACUUGAACAGAGAGUGAGAGAGUACUUUAGCCUAUUUCUUUGCUUGCUUGGUUCCUUAUCUGUUUUCUGAAAGCUGCUGGAAAGCAACAGAGAUUUAGCUGCCAGGUCUGAACUGCAGGGGUGGAAUUGGCAGUAGUAAAAGCAAAAAGAUUCAGCAAAUAAAAGAUAAUAUAGAUCGUCUCCUGUUGUGCCUGUUUUCAAAUUACUGUGUUUAAAUGAACUUCUUGUUCUGCAAGCUGUCUUUAGUCUCUCGCUUGCUGGCCUCCAAUGACCUUUCUCUGAUUUUCUUUUUCCUUUAUAGUCUCAUGGCAUUGCAAACUUUUAUCUGCCUUGCUGGUAACUUAAAUAUGGAUAAAUUCAACACAUACUUUUAAUCUUAUGGGAAGUCUCAUCUCAAUUUGUAGAUGUUUAGGCAAUGGGAUACAGUAUAAGCUAAUGCUCUGUGCAAAAGACUACUGCAUGAUUUUUGCCUUGUGAAUAUAUGUGGGUUGCU
ensembl:lncRNA